rnacentral:rRNA from 1 species
UACAGAGGUCCCAAGCGUUGUUCGGAUUCAUUGGGCGUAAAGGGUGCGUAGGCGGCGCGGUAAGUCGGGUGUGAAAUCUCGGAGCUUAACUCCGAAACUGCAUUCGAUACUGCCGUGCUUGAGGACUGGAGAGGAGACUGGAAUUUACGGUGUAGCGGUGAAAUGCGUAGAUAUCUGGAGGAAUACCGGUGGCGAAGGCGGCAUCCUGGACCGACAUUGACGCUGAGGAGCGAAAGCUAGGGGAGCAAACGGG